UUAAGCAGUUCAUCGGGUGCUAACCGGUGCUGCAGAGGAUUGCUAGUUGGAGUUGCGUACUUGGGGGGAUUGAAGAAAUUCAAGUUGAGAUAAUUGUUCGCCGGUUUGGGGGGGACUUGCCGCCGGCGAGAUGAGCGCGUCUAGAUUUAUUAAGUGCGUGACCGUGGGCGACGGAGCUGUGGGUAAAACUUGCUUGCUCAUCUCUUACACUAGCAAUACUUUUCCAACUGUAAGUUUUAUUCUCCAACUCUUUUGAUUUUUGGCUUGUUCUUUUAAUUUACUAUUUUCUGUUGCAUCGUAACUUUUUUGUUAAUUGUUGAGCUUAUUUCAAUUCGGGUAAGAGCAGGUAAUGUUGAUGUUAAUAUUGUUCAAGCUUUUGUAGUCAAUGUAGUUCUGGCAUGGUUGGGAAACAAUGAUUUUUUUCCCUUGCGUCUUCGAGCAUUCUAAUAUUGAUAGGAAUUUGGUGGCAUGGACUGUUGGACUGUAAUAACUUGGAGCUUCUACUUUUCAUUCUGUUCUGGUAGUAUAAGUUUAGGCUCGGGGGUGGAGGUGGGAGUAAGAUUUUUGAAUAAGUGCCUGAGGAAUACAUUUCUUUUUCUGGAUACGGUUUUGAACAAUCAGACGUGUGAAAAAAAGGAGGAUUGGAAUAUGCUUUUGACUGAAUCCUUUUUACCUUUUUGUCACGCACAUAGCCUCCCUUUUCAAGUUACCAAUUUUGUUUUUGAAUUCAUUUGGUUUAGCUUUAUCAAUUAUGACAUGAAUACGAAUUCAAAAAAUAGAAUAUUUAUCCAUCAAUCAUCAUUGGAUAUGUAGAUUCCUUUUUUCUUUUAGUGUUUUCUGAUUUACUUUUCACUGUGUCGCCUUUUUUAUUCAAAUGUAGAUCUUCUGAGUAACAUUAAUUUUGUAACUCACUUUUCAUUGAUAUAGAUUAUGUUUAAGGAUAUUGAAUAUACCAAAAGUGCAUAGACAAGUAAAAGUUUGCAAACUUUUCUCUGCUCCCUCACCGAACCUGUGAGCUUUUAUCUUUUGGGUUCGUUGUUUUUUUUUUUUUUUUUUUGAUCGGGCAAAGUCAUGUUAGAUGUUAGUAGUUAGUUCCCCCAUCCACUCCAAGAACCACCUUAUCUCUCCAUUCACCAAAAUCCACCUUAUAUCUCCCCAAUCUCCAAUUCGCUCCCAAGAGGGAUCGAACCCGGGUCACUUCACUUAAGUGAGGACCCGGUGGCCAGUGGGCUAAGCCCCCUGGUUUUUUGGGUUCGUUGUUAAAACUCAUGUAGGAUGGUUAUGAACUUCUUAACAGAUUUUGAUGUAGAUGCCGCUUAAAAGAGUGAAUUAUGGUACCUAUUGGACUGUAGGCUCUGCUUCACUUUGUCCCGUUUACUUUUCUUUUGUGCUCUACAACAUAUCAUGUUCAAAUUGGUUACACUCAAGUCACAUGCUAUUAUAGUUUUCAGCAGUGGAAAAUUUUCUUCUUGGUUACUAGGUUUCUAACUGGAUCUUUUUUGUUUUGGCUUAAACAGGAUUAUGUCCCAACUGUUUUUGAUAAUUUCAGUGCCAAUGUCGUAGUGGACGGUAGCACUGUUAAUCUAGGAUUGUGGGAUACUGCAGGUAAAUUAAUAUUCCCGUGCAUACUUUCUAAUUCAUCUUUCAAAAACUACAGAACAGGCAGUCACACUUUAUUCUACAGGCCAAGAGGAUUACAAUAGAUUGAGACCAUUGAGCUACCGUGGGGCUGAUGUCUUUAUUCUCGCCUUCUCCCUUAUUAGCAAGGCUAGUUACGAGAAUGUCUCCAAGAAGGUGAGCCUUCAAUUUACCUUAGUGGGGUGAGAAUCCUAACCUCUUCAUAGCUUUUGGUUUCUCGGAUAACAGGUUAUUAAAAGGGGAGGAAAGUGAAUUGAGAAAUCAAGAGUAAUUUUAUUCUAUUUUGCUUCUCUUCAUUGGGGAUCAAAAUUUCCUAGCACUUCGUAAACCUUUUAGGGAUCGUUUGGUUUGAUGGAUGGGAUAGAUAAGAUUGAUAGAAUUGGAGAGUGAUUAAAUAAUCCACCAACUUCGGGGUACUAAAUAAUCACUCAAUUGCAUGAUUAGAGUGUGAGUGAGCCUAGUUAUCCAUCACGUGCCCAAUCAUGCAAACCAAACACUUGAUUAAGUUGGAUUAUUUAUCAAUCAUGCCUUAUCACUCAAACCAAACACCUCCUUAAUAGCUUUUGGUUCUUUUCUGGNAAAAUAAAAUCUCCACUAGUUUUACUUCCAAUUUUAUUAUAUACUAGUAGUACUAAAUUAAAUUCUGCUCCAAAUCCUUUCCUUCACAUGAAAAUACAUGUGAAAUUUAAUGUGCAUUCAAUUUUGGCAAAAUUAUUGAACACUUGAAAAGCAAGCAAAAUUUCCGAAAAAAGAAAAAGUUUUUUGUGUGUUGGCAAAUGAUAGGAUGACCUCAAGUAGCACCUGGAGUUAUAUGCUAUGCUAUAGCUGUCUCGUAGCUGGCUCCCUCACAUUACUAUUUUAAAAACUCCAUCCUCGCUUGCAUUCUCUCUCUCUCUCUCUGCGCGGAAAUCAUCACCUCUCUCUCACACCUGCUAUGCUAAUGUGCUUUCUCUCUCUAGUUCGUCUGUAUGUCUCCCCUCUUCUCUCAUUUGCUGCGUUGUUUCUGAUUUGAUUGACAGUGAAUGUGGCUGUUGUCUGCUUGGUGAUCGUACUAUAGUUAGGGUUUAAUUUUGAGGUUAGGGUUUUGAUUCCGUGUUAUUGGAGAUUUCUAACUGUUUUCCUCCUAAUUCUUUUUGCAGUUAAGCAGUUCAUCGGGUGCUAACCGGUGCUGCAGAGGAUUGCUAGUUGGAGUUGCGUACUUGGGGGAUUGAAGAAAUUCAAGUUGAGAUAAUUGUUCGCCGGUUUGGGGGGGACUUGCCGCCGGCGAGAUGAGCGCGUCUAGAUUUAUUAAGUGCGUGACCGUGGGCGACGGAGCUGUGGGUAAAACUUGCUUGCUCAUCUCUUACACUAGCAAUACUUUUCCAACUG
rnacentral:lncRNA from 1 species